rnacentral:rRNA from 1 species
UGAGGAAUAUUGGUCAAUGGAGGAAACUCUGAACCAGCCAAGUCGCGUGAAGGAAGAAUGUCCUAAGGAUUGUAAACUUCUUUAGCGAGCGAGUAAGGACUUCCACGUGAUGGGAGUUUGAAAGUAGCUCGAGAAUAAGUAUCGGCUAACUCCGUGCCAGCAGCCGCGGUAAUACGGAGGAUACGAGCGUUAUCCGGAUUUAUUGGGUUUAAAGGGUGCGCAGGUGGUCCUGCAAGUCAGUGGUGAAAAGCUGAGGCUCAACCUCAGCCUUGCCUUUGAAACUGCAAGACUUGAGAGUACAUGAUGUGGGCGGAAUGCGUAGUGUAGCGGUGAAAUGCAUAGAUAUUACGCAGAACUCCGAUUGCGAAGGCAGCUCACAAAGGUAUGUCUGACACUGAGGCACGAAAGCGUGGGGAGCAAACAGG